UUGCACGCUGGCGGCAUGCCUUACACAUGCAAAUCGAACGGUAACGGGCCUUCGGGUGCCGACGAGUGGCGAACGGGUGAGUAAUACAUCGGAACGUGCCCGAUCGUGGGGGAUAACGAGGCGAAAGCUUUGCUAAUACCGCAUACGAUCUACGGAUGAAAGCAGGGGACCGCAAGGCCUUGCGCGGACGGAGCGGCCGAUGGCAGAUUAGGUAGUUGGUGGGAUAAAAGCUUACCAAGCCGACGAUCUGUAGCUGGUCUGAGAGGAUGAUCAGCCACACUGGGACUGAGACACGGCCCAGACUCCGACGGGAGGCAGCAGUGGGGAAUUUUGGACAAUGGGCGCAAGCCUGAUCCAGCCAUGCCGCGUGCAGGAUGAAGGCCUUCGGGUUGUAAACUGAUUUUGUACGGAACGAAAAGCCUUCUUUUAAUACAGGAGGGUCAUGACGGUACCGUAAGAAUAAGCACCGGCUAACUACGUG
rnacentral:rRNA from 1 species